UGGCUCGGGACGAACGCUGGCGGCGUGCUUAACACAUGCAAGUCGAACGGAGAUUUAGCAAUAGAAUCUUAGUGGCGAACGGGUGAGUAACGCGUAGGCAAUCUGCCUUCUAGAUGGGGACAACAUCCCGAAAGGGGGUGCUAAUACCGAAUGUUGUAGCGACUUCGCAUGAAGUUGCUACUAAAGGUGGCCUCUGAAUAUGCUACCGCUAGAAGAUGAGCCUGCGUCUGAUUAGCUAGUUGGAGGGGUAACGGCCCACCAAGGCUUCGAUCAGUAGCCGGUCUGAGAGGAUGAACGGCCACACUGGGACUGAGACACGGCCCAGACUCCUACGGGAGGCAGCAGUGGGGAAUCUUCCGCAAUGGACGAAAGUCUGACGGAGCAACGCCGCGUGAGUGAAGAAGGUUUUCGGAUCGUAAAGCUCUUUCGUUAGGGACGAACGUGCUCUUUGUGAAUAAUGGAGAGUAAUGACGGUACCUAAAUAAGAAGCCACGGCUAACUACGUGCCAGCCGCUGC
rnacentral:rRNA from 1 species